rnacentral:lncRNA from 1 species
UUUCAGUCCAGUCAGACACCCCGGUAUUAUGUCAGUGAAGAGGAUGUCCUGAUGCUCUUUACAAAUCCAUCCUUCAUAGUUCAUUAGAUCCUUGCAUUGGGGAACAUAUUGUUUGCCCUGCCACAGGGAAAGGAGAUGACAGAACUUGAAAUAUGAAAAUAUGAGGUGAAUAUUUGCUCCAGAAAAAUCCUGAGGACUUUGAACUGUGUUUGCCUAGCAUUACAGAUCCAUGGAAUAAAGGGGAAAAAGAAACUUGUGGGCAUGAAAAUGAACCUUCUGUUUAUGAUCUUUUGCUAGAUUUCAUCCUCUAAAUAUCAGAUACUUUAUUUUUACUUCACUA